rnacentral:rRNA from 1 species
UACGUAGGUGGCAAGCGUUGUCCGGAUUUACUGGGCGUAAAGAGCGCGCAGGCGGUCGUUCAAGUCGCGUGUGAAAGCCCCCGGCUCAACUGGGGAGGGUCACGCGAUACUGAUCGACUCGAAGGCAGGAGAGGGUAGUGGAAUUCCCGGUGUAGUGGUGAAAUGCGUAGAUAUCGGGAGGAACACCAGUGGCGAAGGCGGGUCUCUGGGCCGAUAUUGACGCUGAGGAGCGAAAGCGUGGGGAGCGAACAGG